UUUCAUCCACUUUUCUCCUGUUCUGGGUCUUUACCUUCCAAGGUUAUUCUGAAAACAACCAUGAAGGCACAUCAUCAACUGAUUGUUUCCUACUUCAGUUGAUCUCACUUUCUAUUUAACUUCAUCUGCCAAGACUGCUCUUUGUAAUUGCAAAUAACAAUUCAAAAUCACAAAUUCAAUUGCAAAACUCACAUGACCAGUUUUUAAAUAUUCCUGCAAAA
rnacentral:lncRNA from 1 species